GACGAACCGUGCGAACGUUGUUCGGAAUCACUGGGCUUAAAGGGCGCGUAGGCGGGCAAGCAAGUCAGGGGUGAAAGCCCACGGCUCAACCGUGGAAGUGCCUUUGAUACUGCUAGUCUUGAGGGAGGUAGGGGCGUGCGGAACUUCCGGUGGAGCGGUGAAAUGCGUAGAUAUCGGAAGGAACACCGGCGGCGAAAGCGGCGCGCUGGAUCUCUUCUGACGCUGAGGCGCGAAAGCCAGGGGAGCAAACGGG
rnacentral:rRNA from 1 species